rnacentral:rRNA from 1 species
AGUUUGAUCAUGGCUCAGGACGAACGCUGGCGGCGCGCUUAAUACAUGCAAGUCGAGCGAGAACCUAGGCUUCGGCCUAGGGGACAGCGGCGAACGGGUGAGUAACACGUGGGUAAUCAACCCCCGACACCGGGAUAGCCCAGGGAAACUUGGAUUAAUACCGGAUGCCCCAUCUGGCUUUCGAGCCGGCUGGAAAAGGGUAGCUUCGGCCUCUGGUCGGGGACGAGCCCGCGGCGGAUUAGCUUGUUGGUGAGGUAAAGGCUCACCAAGGCGACGAUCCGUAGCUGGUCUGAGAGGACGAUCAGCCACACUGGGACUGAGACACGGCCCAGACUCCUACGGGAGGCAGCAGUAGGGAAUCUUGCGCAAUGGGCGAAAGCCUGACGCAGCGACGCCGCGUGAGGGAAGAAGGCCUUCGGGUUGUAAACCUCUUUCAGGAGGGACGAAGCCGCUCGGGUUAAUAGCCUAGAGGGUGACGGUACCUCCAGAAGAAGCCCCGGCUAACUACGUGCCAGCCGCCGCGGUAAUAC